UUGAAGCAAAAUCUAGUUCGUUUGAGCCCAAAAGCACUCAAUCAGACAUUUUAGACUAACUUGCUAGUACAGUUGACAAGAUCACUCAAGCAGUUGAAUCAAUUGACACCAGAGAGCCUAAUUGUUGGAACAUUAUCAAAGAGAUCCCAAAUUUGGAUGAUGAUGAUGAUCAUUUCAAGGUCCUUGAUUUGCUUAAUACAAAAGCAAAAAAGUUUGAGUUCUUGAGCAUGACAC
rnacentral:lncRNA from 1 species